UCCAGGUAAUGACCGUAACUUAAUAAGGAUGCAAUUGUUCAUCUCUUUUAUAAUUAAUGAGCAGCUAUGAUUGUUUAGAAUUAAUAUUAUUAUUAAUAUUGGCUAUGAAAGAUAAUCAAGGAAGGUGGGUUUGACAAAAAAAUUAUAUUUGAAAUUGGAAUAUGAGUGGAAAAAUGGGUUUAGAGUGCAAUCAUUGAAUAAUGAUUAGGUGGUAAUCAUUGUACAGUGAGUGGUCCUUGGGAGAUUUAAGUGAGGAAUAAUGGAAUUUAAGUAGUAGACGUACUAGUUGGUUGCUGGACACAUAUUUUUCCUUCGUUCUUCCUGCGACUCCAAUUAAAAAUAUGGUACCACAUUAUUAUCAAAAUUUUGAUAUAUUGAUAGAUCUAAUUAAAUACUAUAUGUAUUGUAUUAUUUGAAUAUUAUUAGAUUCAUGAUAUUGGAGAAAUUAGAAUAUAAUCUAAGACUUGAAAUUUGAAAAUAUGAGAGUUGACAUGUUAAUUGACAUCAAGAUUUAAGAUCUUGCUUAUAGGUUUGGGUGAGUUCCUGGGUCUAGGCUAGACAUAUAAUAAUAUGGAUGUUGUUAGUUUUGAAAUCUUAUUGUGGUCAUUUAUUUGAAUAGAUGACAUUGAGUUGGAAGUUUAACGAAAGGGGAAGACUCAAGUCCCGGCGUGAUUGUUCGAUAGAUUGAGGCAAGUGGAUUUCUAAACCCUUGUUAAGUGUAUGGAAUUCAUGUAUUUCCUUGUAAUAUGUGUUUAGGGUAAUGAGGCUUGGUG
rnacentral:lncRNA from 1 species